rnacentral:rRNA from 1 species
UGGAGUAUGUGGUUUAAUUCGAUGCAACGCGAAGAACCUUACCUGGUCUUGACAUCCCGGAGACCCUUAGGAAACUAGGGGGUGCUUCCAUCUGGAAGAAUCUGGAGACAGGUGCUGCAUGGCUGUCGUCAGCUCGUGUCGUGAGAUGUUGGGUUUAAGUCCCGCAACGAGCGCAACCCUUGCCUUUAGUUGCCAGCAGUUCGGCUGGGCACUCUAAAGGGACUGCCGGUGUUAAACCGGAGGAAGGUGGGGAUGACGUCAAGUCCUCAUGGCCUUUAUGACCAGGGCUACACACGUACUACAAUGGCCGAUACAAAGGGCAGCGACACUGCGAGGUGAAGCCAAUCCCGUAAAAUCGGUCUCAGUCCGGAUUGGAGUCUGCAACUCGACUCCAUGAAGUUGGAAUCGCUAGUAAUCGUGGAUCAGCAUGCCACGGUGAAUACGUUCCCGGGCCUU